CCUACGGGUGGCAGCAGUCGAGAAUCAUUCACAAUGGGGGAAACCCUGAUGGUGCGACGCCGCGUGGGGGAAUGAAGGUCUUCGGAUUGUAAACCCCUGUCAUGUGGGAGCAAAUUAAAAAGAUAGUACCACAAGAGGAAGAGACGGCUAACUCUGUGCCAGCAGCCGCGGUAAUACAGAGGUCUCAAGCGUUGUUCGGAAUCACUGGGCGUAAAGCGUGCGUAGGCUGUUUCGUAAGUCGUGUGUGAAAGGCGCGGGCUCAACCCGCGGACGGCACAUGAUACUGAGAGACUAGAGUAAGGGAGGGGGAACCGGAAUUCUCGGUGUAGCAGUGAAAUGCGUAGAUAUCGAGAGGAACACUCGUGGCGAAGGCGGGUUCCUGGACAUUAACUGACGCUGAGGCACGAAGGCCAGGGGAGCGAAAGGGAUUAGAUACCCCAGUAGUC
rnacentral:rRNA from 1 species